GUAGAAGUGCAAGGGUUACGUCUCUGGACUGAGAUAGAUGACCUAUGCUCCUUUCUUUCUGCUAAUCCUGAGCCACAGGAUUCAGAAGACAAAGGUCAAAGCAAAAGGUUCUUAUUUCAUUAUUCGAAGACCCAUGACACUGGCAAUUCUGAUUUUAUGG